rnacentral:rRNA from 1 species
UCGGGAAUUUUGGGCAAUGGGCGAAAGCCUGACCCAGCAACGCCGCGUGGAUGAUGAAGGCCUUAGGGUUGUAAAAUCCUUUCGUUGGGGACGAUAAUGACGGUACCCAAAGAAGAAGCUCCGGCUAACUUCGUGCCAGCAGCCGCGGUAAUACGAAGGGGGCUAGCGUUGUUCGGAUUUACUGGGCGUAAAGCGCGUGUAGGCGGAUUUGUAAGUUGGGGGUGAAAUCCCGAGGCUCAACCUCGGAACUGCCUCCAAAACUACAAGUCUGGACCUAAGUAGAGGCAAGUGGAAUUGCGAGUGUAGAGGUGAAAUUCGUAGAUAUUCGCAGGAACACCAGUGGCGAAGGCGACUUGCUGGACUUAUGGUGACGCUGAGGCGCGAAAGCCAGGGGAGCAAACGGGAUUAGAUACCCUUGUAGUCCCUGAGCGGGCUGGCAAGGCGCAU